CGGCAAGAUCGUAAAGGUGACGCUUAGUAGAUUUGAAGAGUGAGCAUUUUUGUUCAAAUUUCUUACGUUGGAACGAAUUGAGUUGUAAUUAAAUCGAUGUAGUCAGUCAACCCAUCCAACAUAGUAAUUGUGAUACCCCGAUAUGUAUUAUAUUCAACGAAUCAACGAUACUCAACACUCGGCAGCAUGGUACCUCAUAUAACAGUAAAAAAUUGCUGGUCGGAGGGAUCAUAAAUCAACAGCCGCAAACCACACGGACUUUCGGGACCUUAGAGAAAGUAUGAUAACGUAUAUAAAUGAAUGAAUGGAAAGAGAAUCAUGAAACUGUGAAGUACCAAGUCUCCCUUAAACAACAUUACCAAAAACCAUACAUACCCAAUGCCUACAUAAUGUAUAAAUAUGGACAGUGGUACGUUAUUUCAGCGUAAAUAAAUGACUUGGUUUUUCGUUAAAUUGUAAACUUUUUCUCAUUUUAACUUUGUUUUUAAAAUAUUUUCAGCGCGAGAAAAUAUUUGAUAAAUUUUUGUUCCUCUAUAAUUUAUUUGAA